UUUACUUAAGAGCCUUUAGGGAAGGAUUUUGUCAAAGGCUUUCUGAAAAUGUGUCAGACAGCAGAAGGAGGAGAAGCCAUGUGACCCCAAGGAUUGCAGCUGCUACUCUUCGGAGGAAUUGUAGGGUGCUGGUGUAUGAUGGUUCUCUUCUGAAGAGGGAGUAAUCCACCUGCUGUCUGGCAUGGCAUCCUGAGAGAUAUGUUGCCUGACUGGGCCUAUAUCAGAGAGGGACUGUCAAGGAUCAUCCAGCCUUUUGACUACCACCCCAUGCUACUCAUCCAUGUUGGCACCAAUGAUACUGUGAGGAUGUCAUUCUGGGAAGAAGAACUGCUAAGAAGAGAUGGGGGUCCACCUAUCAAGGAAAGGGAAGAGCAUCUUUGGAUACAAACUGGCAGACCUAGUAAGAAGGGCUUUAAACUAGGUUCAAUGGGGACAGCUGAUGAAAACCCACAGGUAAGACCUGGGAGAAAGGUCAGGAUCUGGGCUGGGGCAUGAGCCAUUGCAGCAGGAAAAAGGGAGAGACAAGAGAGAACAUAGUGGGAAAUCAAAUCAGUAUCAUAGAUGUCUGUAUGGGGACAUAAUGCAAUAUGUAUGAGGAAUAAGCAGUAACUUUGAAAUGCUACUUAAUAAAUACAAUGAUGACACAGUUGGCCUCACAGACUUGAUAAGAUGAUAUGCAUGGCUGGAAUAUUGGUAUAGAGGGGUAUAGCUUGCUCAGGAAGGACAGGCAAGGGGGAAAGGGGAGGAGGUGACGCCUUAUUUAUUAAACAUGUUUACACUUCUACUUCCAUCUUAAUCUUGGUAUGAGACAGAUUCAUUGAAAGUCUCUGGGUAAAGAUAAAAAGGGUAAAAACAAGGGUGAUGUCAUGUUAGCAGUCUACUACAGAUUACUUCCAUUUGACAGAGCAUAAACUCUGUCAAAUGAAGUGUAAACCUAUAACCAGGGAAACCAAAAAAGAAUGUGAAGAACAGCUAGCCAAAAACUCAAACACCAAUAGCAACUCAAAAUUAAGAGCAAUUUAAAAUACAUUAGAAGCAGGAAGCCUAAACAACCAAUUGGGCUACUGGAUGAUUGAGAUGCUAAUGGAAGGCCAGCUAUCUUUACAGCCAGACAUUAAGAGGAUAGCUUUACAGUUAGACAUUAGGAGAAACUUCAUAAUCUAAAUCUCC